CCCUUCAGAGGGGGACAACAGUUGGAAACGACUGCUAAUACCGCAUACGAUCUGACCUCGGCAUCGAGGAUAGAUGAAAGGUGGCCUCUAUCUAUAAGCUAUCACUGAAGGAGGGGAUUGCGUCUGAUUAGCUAGUUGGAGGGGUAACGGCCCACCAAGGCGAUGAUCAGUAGCCGGUCUGAGAGGAUGAACGGCCACAUUGGGACUGAGACACGGCCCAG
rnacentral:rRNA from 1 species